GUGUGCUGUUUUGACUCUGUGGUGAUGGACACUAGAGAAACAUUUAGAAACAGAUGUCUGUGGAGAGGUAAAAAAAAACCACACCUGUGAAUGUGUAAACAUAUAAUAUUUAGUACUUUUAUAAAUCCAACUCUGUAUAGCAGAGACCUUCUAGUUAGUAAACAUAAAUAAGAGAUGGUUUCUGAACAAAUUGAACUACAACACAAAGUCUGUGUGAUUUUUCCUUACAGAAUUCAAACACAAGGUCUAUACUUUCCGCAACAGUAUCAAAGCAACGCUUGUGAGACAACCAAGAGGGCAUUUUGUCCUGGACAUCUCUUCCUAAAAACAUACCUCUUAAAAGAAGAAAGUCAGUCGAGGUGACAUAAGGACUGUACUUUAGCAAGCUUCAAAGUUUCUGUGAAGAUUAACCAGAGUCAAGAUCUCCUUUCCCAUUAGCAGAGACCCUCAAAUAGCGUAUGUGAGAAUCACACAGCUGAUAGUUAAGGAGGGAUUUCUGGUAUGUCAACAAAAUUUGAAUGUUAUUAGGAAAUGGUAGAAGCGAGACUCACAGGUAGUUUCUGUACACAGAAAAGCCUUGAUCCGUAUUUCAACAGGAGUGGUGGCUUUAGGCACCACCAUACUCCUGCUGCUCCAUUCCUAAAUAUCGGGAUUCAAAGAGCAGUGUCUCACUAAAGUCUAAUGACAAUACCAUUACCUGCAACCUGUCCCUUCACUACCAGCAAAAAAUAAUGUGUCACCCCACUUACAUCCUUAAUCAGGACUUCAAAACUGGCUGGGUAAUAAGUGCAUUUACUCUAACUUACAAGUAAGGUACAACUUAAGACUACUAGAAGUGAUUUAGCUCAGUGAACCAAGAAAUAAGCAAAUAGUAAGGGAGUGCCUGGGGCAAACACUUCUGGGCUGCUUAUCUGGGACAGUUUUUAGCUACAAUUAGUCGUUGGUACAUUUUUGUUAUCAUUCCACACCACUGUUUUCUUCAAUUAAAGACAGCUGACAAAGUCUUUCACGGCAUAGUUGAGACAAACCAUAAUUUUUUCUUCUGUACAAAAUUUGUUGCUAUUAUUUAACAUCUAUUUUCCUUAUUGUCUGUCUUGCAUUAAUUCUUGUCCCUUCCAUAGCUUCAGGUUCAGUCUAUUGGAAAACGGUCAGCACAAUAAUCCCUAUCUCACUCAUUUUCCAGCAAAGAGGAAAAACAUUUCUUCCUUGAAGUUUCCAGCGGGGGUUACUGGAAGGAUUACAUGGCUUGCAGGAAAGAAGUACACUUGCACACAGGGAGAAGAAUGACCAAGACUGCUCCAGCCAGAAGUUCCCAAAGAGCGGCACGCAGAACAGAAGUCCUACAGAGUACAAGUAUUCUGGCACAAAUGCUCUCCACAAACAGGAAUGGCCACCAAAACACACAAAGAGUAGAUGCUGGGGACUUCACUGAGAGAACGGGCUGUUCAAGCUCUCCCCUUGGAAGAAAAUACAUAGGGAACAGUAUCACUAGUAGUUGGAAAACAUGGAUACUUCUUAAGACUUCAAGCAACACAUCAACAAUAGAUAAUACUUCACACAGAGAAAUAAUUCACAGGUUUUCUGCCAGAUGAAGCUGUACUGGAUAUUACCAAACUGCACAGGGAGAUUCAGCUGAAUUGUGAAGGGCCAUGAAGUUAAGGCUAAAACUCUAGAGGAAACGCAUGAUGCUUCAAGGUGCCUCCAGCCAGUGGAUGUUAUGUGGUGAGCAAAGUGGGAUGCUUUGCCCAGAACUUGGAUGAGAUGAGAAAAGUAAAGAAGAAAAACUGGAGACAAUGAUGCUCUGUCUGAUACUGGGGAAUCAUCACUGUGGGUGUAGAUGGCACUGUGUCACAACCUGCCUUUUCUCAAAGGACAGCACUUGGGCCAGUUUUUAAAGAUGACCAAGUAACUGGAGCUUUCUUCAACUAAAGACCCUCUUCAUCCAGAAAAUGAAGUACAAAAAGUCUUACAGUUCUCUCUAGAGAUCAGUUCAGGAGAAGUGCAGCCCAAACCAUCCAUCUCUGGAGAAGCACCACAAGCUUAUUCCUAUUUUUAUAGGUCUUUUUCUAUGAGAUGUUACAAGGGCUAUAUGCUGCCAAAUCAAUGGAGGAGGAGGCGCCCUGUUCCUGGGCUACAUGACUCAGGCUGCUGAGAACGGCACACCACACCCCGUGCUCUUCUGGCUGUGAAACACAUCUACUCAGAUGGGAAGAGUGUUUCAGUGACACCUCAUUCUGCUGGCAGGCUGCACAUGGAAUUAACAACAACAACAAAAGGAGUGGGACAUUUCUCAGUGGUUUACAAAACAAACAGGGAAAAAAAAAAAAACGACACAGAGAAAUCUAUGACUAAUAUGAUACAGUGAAAGAAAGAAAUCACACAAACAUCUCUGUUUCCAUGACAAGGUUUAUAUAUAGCAAAAUGGUAAACAGAAAGAGCUGUUGUGUUCAAAGUGGAUCACACUGACAGUGGAAAGACAGCUUUAGUUUACAGUAUUCUGAUAUAAAUAAAACCUGUUUCUAGCCAUAUUGAUGCAUUAUUGAUAAUCUGCAGUUAACGUUUAUCUCUGUCUAUAUCUCCAGGAUGCUAGUUCAAACAGAGAAGUGUAUGAUGUCUGAUAUUCACCUUUAUAAUAACUGAAGGUGAUGCAGGGGGUUGAAUUCUGACAGCUUUCACUAUGAAAGUCACUUGAAGGAGCUGGGAGUGAAACAUCAGAGCACUCAUAGCCUCCUUGUCCUCCAGAUGUGCUUUUCCAGGUAUCAAGCCUAACAACCACCAGAAAGCAGAUUUUAAGGCAACUGUUCAUACACUGGGGUUCAUGACACCAGGUAUGGUCGUACAGUCACAGAGGGCUUCUUUGAGCCUAACUGAAAUCCAGUUAAAGCUGGUAUCUUUGCAAGUAGUUGUGCUCAUGCUAAACUACAGCUCAAAGAGUAGAAUUGCAGUCAGAAGUUUGGGAGCUUCUCAGGAAAACAAUAAUGGCAUCAUUCCCAUUUGGCACU